GAGGGUAUAGCCCAGUGAUAGAGUGUGUGCUUAGCAUGCAUGAGGUCCUGGAUUCAAUCUCCAGUACUUCCA
rnacentral:tRNA from 1 species